GACGAACGCUGGCGGCGUGCCUAAUACAUGCAAGUAGAACGCUGAAGGAGGAGCUUGCUUCUCUGGAUGAGUUGCGAACGGGUGAGUAACGCGUAGGUAACCUGCCUGGUAGCGGGGGAUAACUAUUGGAAACGAUAGCUAAUACCGCAUAAGAGUAGAUGUUGCAUGACAUUUGCUUAAAAGGUGCAAUUGCAUCACUACCAGAUGGACCUGCGUUGUAUUAGCUAGUUGGUGGGGUAACGGCUCACCAAGGCGACGAUACAUAGCCGACCUGAGAGGGUGAUCGGCCACACUGGGACUGAGACACGGCCCAGACUCCUACGGGAGGCAGCAGUAGGGAAUCGUCGGCAAUGGACGGAAGUCUGACCGAGCAACGCCGCGUGAGUGAAGAAGGUUGUCGGAUCGUAAAGCUCUGUUGUAAGAGAAGAACGAGUGUGAGAGUGGAAAGUUCACACUGUGACGGUAUCUGACCAGAAAGGGACGGCUAACUACGUG
rnacentral:rRNA from 1 species